rnacentral:ncRNA from 1 species
UCGGUAACGAGGGGUUCGGAGGAAGCCGAUAGCAAAACACUGACCUGAUGAACAAGAAGCAGAUAUGAGGCGUGCAAGUUGGGUAAGAAAUCUAAUAUGUUCGAAGCCCUAAUACACGUACGGAAAACUUGCCCGUAGAUCUGACAGGUAUAAGUGGGAAAGCA